GUGCUCACUCGCUUCACAAACUAAAACCGGAGCAAUACGGAGAAGAUGGCACGGCCCUUGUGCAAGAAUGACAUGAAAAUUCACAAAGUGUCCUACAUUUUU